rnacentral:rRNA from 1 species
AUUGAACGCUGGCGGCAGGCCUAACACAUGCAAGUCGAGCGGAUGAAGGGAGCUUGCUCCUGGAUUCAGCGGCGGACGGGUGAGUAAUGCCUAGGAAGCUGCCUGGUAGUGGGGGAUAACGUCCGGAAACGGGCGCUAAUACCGCAUACGUCCUGAGGGAGAAAGGGGUGGAUCUUCGGACCUCACGCUAUCAGAUGAGCCUAGGUCGGAUUAGCUAGUUGGUGGGGUAAAGGCCUACCAAGGCGACGAUCCGUAACUGGUCUGAGAGGAUGAUCAGUCACACUGGAACUGAGACACGGUCCAGACUCCUACGGGAGGCAGCAGUGGGGAAUCUUGGACAAUGGGCGAAAGCCUGAUCCAGCCAUGCCGCGUGUGUGAAGAAGGUCUUCGGAUUGUAAAGCACUUUAAGUUGGGAGGAAGGGCAGUAAGUUAAUCCCUUGCUGUUUUGACGUUACCAACAGAAUAAGCACCGGCUAACUUCGUG